rnacentral:rRNA from 1 species
AUUGAACGCUGGCGGCAGGCCUAACACAUGCAAGUCGAACGAGUGGCGGACGGGUGAGUAAUGUCUGGGAAACUGCCUGAUGGAGGGGGAUAACUACUGGAAACGGUAGCUAAUACCGCAUACCAUCGGAUGUGCCCAGAUGGGAUUAGCUAGUAGGUGGGGUAAAGGCUCACCAAGGCAACGAUCCCUAGCUGGUCUGAGAGGAUGACCAGCCACACUGGAACUGAGACACGGUCCAGACUCCGACGGGAGGAAGCAGUGGGGAAUAUUGCACAAUGGGCGAAAGCCUGAUGCAGCCAUCCCGCGUGUAUGAAGAAGGCCUUCGGGUUGUAAAGUACUUUCGGCAGAGAAGCGUUACCUGCAGAAUAAGCACCGGCUAACUACGUGCCAGCCGCCGCGGUAAUAC